UUUUCGAUGGCGGCAGUGGCCGGGAGUCCCCUGUAAGCAGGGAAGCUGACUCUUUGGCUGCUGCUUUUUGUGUGCCCAGCCCCAUUUGCCCAGUCUGCCCGCCUCUGUGAUCCCCCGCAGCACUGGCUGGAAGUCCGCCGCGUGUCAGUGAGGAGCUGCUGCAGAAGGAAGAAGAAGAAGCAGCGGCGUGGGGACCUGGGCGGCAGGAGCGAGCAAAAAGAGGAAGCGGAAGCGUGCAGAUGCGGGGG
rnacentral:lncRNA from 1 species